rnacentral:tRNA from 1 species
GCGGUCGUAGCUCAGCUGGUUAGAGCGUCCGCCUGUCACGCGGAAGGCCGAGGGUUCGAGUCCCUUCGACCGCG